UACGUAGGGGGCAAGCGUUGUCCGGAAUGACUGGGCGUAAAGGGUGCGUAGGUGGUUUCUUAAGUCAGAGGUGAAAGGCUACGGCUCAACCGUAGUAAGCCUUUGAAACUGGGAAACUUGAGUGCAGGAGAGGAGAGUGGAAUUCCUAGUGUAGCGGUGAAAUGCGUAGAUAUUAGGAGGAACACCAGUUGCGAAGGCGGCUCUCUGGACUGUAACUGACACUGAGGCACGAAAGCGUGGGGAGCAAACAGGAUUAGAUACCCCGGUAGUCCCUGAG
rnacentral:rRNA from 1 species